GAUCAUGGCUCAGAUUGAACGCUUGCGGUAUGCAUAACACAUGCAAGUCGUACGGCAGCACGGGCUAAGGCCUGGUGGCGAGUGGCGAACGGGUGAGUAACGCCCCGGAACGUGCCUUGUAGUGGGGGAUAGACUGGCGAAAGUCAGAGUAAUACCGCAUGAAGCCACGCAGCAUGCGCGGUGAAAGUGGGGGAUUCUAGCCUCACGCUACUGGAUCGGCCGGGGU
rnacentral:rRNA from 1 species